rnacentral:rRNA from 1 species
GAUGAACGCUGGCGGUGUGCCUAAUACAUGCAAGUCGAGCGAACAGACGAGGAGCUUACUCCUCUGACGUUAGCGGCGGACGGGUGAGUAACACGUGGAUAACCUACCUAUAAGACUGGGAUAACUUCGGGAAACCGGAGCUAAUACCGGAUAACAUGUUGAACCGCAUGGUUCAACAGUGAAAGACGGUCUUGCUGUCACUUAUAGAUGGAUCCGCGUCGCAUUAGCUAGUUGGUAAGGUAACGGCUUACCAAGGCAACGAUGCGUAGCCGACCUGAGAGGGUGAUCGGCCACACUGGAACUGAGACACGGUCCAGACUCCUACGGGAGGCAGCAGUAGGGAAUCUGCCGCAAUGGGCGAGAGCCUGACGGAGCAACGCCGCGUGAGUGAAGAAGGUCUUCGGAUCGUAAAACUCUGUUAUUAGGGAAGAACAAAUGUGUAAGUAACUAUGCACGUCUUGACGGUACCUAAUCAGAAAGCCACGGCUAACUACGUG